rnacentral:rRNA from 1 species
GAUGAACGCUGGCGGCGUGCCUAAUACAUGCAAGUCGAGCGAACGUACGAGGAGCUUGCUUCUCUGAUGUUAGCGGCGGACGGGUGAGUAACACGUGGAUAACCUACCUAUAAGACUGGGAUAACUUCGGGAAACCGGAGCUAAUACCGGAUAAUAUUUUGAACCGCAUGGUUCAAAAGUGAAAGACGGUCUUGCUGUCACUUAUAGAUGGAUCCGCGCUGCAUUAGCUAGUUGGUAAGGUAACGGCUUACCAAGGCAACGAUGCAUAGCCGACCUGAGAGGGUGAUCGGCCACACUGGAACUGAGACACGGUCCAGACUCCUACGGGAGGCAGCAGUAGGGAAUCUUCCGCAAUGGGCGAAAGCCUGACGGAGCAACGCCGCGUGAGUGAUGAAGGUCUUCGGAUCGUAAAACUCUGUUAUUAGGGAAGAACAUAUGUGUAAGUAACUGUGCACAUCUUGACGGUACCUAAUCAGAAAGCCACGGCUAACUACGUG